CGCACAUUGCGCCCUUUGGCAUUCCGAAGGGCAUGCCUGUUCGAGCGUCAUUAUCAACCCUCAAGCCUGGCUUGGUGUUGGGCAACGGUGGCCACUCACCUGCCCCAAAGACAAUGACGGCGUCCGUGAGACCCCCCGGUACAACGAGCUUUUCAUAAGGCACAUACUGUGGUGGGCUCGGGGACCCGGUCUUCCAUUUCUUUCUCAGGUUGACCUCGGAUCAGGUAGGGAUACCCGCUGAACUUAA
rnacentral:misc_RNA from 1 species